UACGUAGGCAGCGAGCGUUGUUCGGAAUUACUGGGCGUAAAGAGUGUGUAGGCGGUGCUCUAAGUUCGGUGUGAAAUCUCCUGCUCAACUGGGAGGGUGCGCCGGAAACUGGAGUGCUUGAGCGUGGGAGAGGAAAGCGGAAUUCCUGGUGUAGCGGUGAAAUGCGUAGAUAUCAGGAGGAACACCUGUGGUGUAGACGGCUUUCUGGACCGUAACUGACGCUGAGACACGAAAGCGUGGGUAGCAAACAGG
rnacentral:rRNA from 1 species